CACCCACAGCAAAGUGUGACCCAGCGUGUCGACAUGGAGGUGUCUGCGUAAGACCCAAUAAGUGCUUGUGUAAAAAAGGAUAUCUUGGCCCCCAGUGUGAACAAGUGGAUAGAAACAUCGGAAGAGUGACAAGGGCAGACAUCACCUAGAUGAAACAGCUUUACCAUGUCCUGUAAAAUACUAAAGUUACAUUUUUCACCAACUUAUUUGGAAUGGCGGGGAAUGAGAGAGCAAACACACUCUUUAAUGUGUUGUGGAUCUAAUCUAGAAAUGUACCCUUGUGUCAACAUGUAUUGAUUUACGACGGAUGAAAAACCAGCCACCAACCAAUCAUAGUAAAAUUCAAGCCUACUGUAAAAAUGCUCAUAAAGUGAUUUUCACAAUAACAGGACUGGCCAGAUUAUACAUUAUUAGACUGUGUCAGAUUUCACACUGAAAGGAACUUCACUGGACAAGACCUCACAUUAGCAAGUCUUGGCUGUUUAAGAUGUCACUUGUACAAAACUUUAUAUGAUGAUUAUUGCCAAAUAUGGUUUUAAAAUGUAAAUGUUCCUUGGAGAGCUAACAAAAACUUUUGUAAAUGUAUCAAUAAAUAUGGUGUACAUGCUGUA